GGGGUUGUAGGACACUCUAUACGGAGUUACAAAAGAAAGUUAUAAAUGAAGCGGUCUGGAAAGGCCCGCCAAAGACGGUAACAGCCCGGUAGUUGAAAUGGCUUUCCCUCCAGAGUGGAUCCUGAGUACGGCGGAACACGUGAAAUUCCGUCGGAAUCCGGGAGGACCAUCUCCCAAGGCUAAAUACUCCCUAGUGACCGAUAGUGAACCAGUACCGUGAGGGAAAGGUGAAAAGCACCCCGGAAGGGGAGUGAAACAGUUCCUGAAACCGUGUGCCUACAAGUAGUUAGAGCCCGUUAAUGGGUGAUAGCGUGCCUUUUGUAGAAUGAACCGGCGAGUUACGAUUUGUUGCAAGGUUAAGCGGAAAAAGCGGAGCCGUAGCGAAAGCGAGUCUGAAUAGGGCGCAUAAGUAACAGGUCGUAGACCCGAAACCAGGUGAUCUACCCAUGUCCAGGAUGAAGGUAAGGUAAUACUUACUGGAGGUCCGAACCCACGCACGUUGAAAAGUGCGGGGAUGAGGUGUGGGUAGCGGAGAAAUUCCAAUCGAACUUGGAGAUAGCUGGUUCUCUCCGAAAUAGCUUUAGGGCUAGCCUCGAGGUAAAGAGUCAUGGAGGUAGAGCACUGUUUGGACUAGGGGCCCUUCUCGGGUUACCGAAUUCAGAUAAACUCCGAAUGCCAUGUACUUAUACUCGGGAGUCAGACUGCGAGUGAUAAGAUCCGUAGUCGAAAGGGAAACAGCCCAGACCACCAGUUAAGGUCCCCAAAUAUAUGUUAAGUGGAAAAGGAUGUGGGGUUGCUUAGACAACCAGGAUGUUGGCUUAGAAGCAGCCACCAUUGAAAGAGUGCGUAAUAGCUCACUGGUCGAGUGACCCCGCGCCGAAAAUGUACCGGGGCUAAACAUAUUACCGAAACUGUGGAUGAACCUCUUUAGAGGUUCGUGGUAGGAGAGCGUUCUAAGGGCGGUGAAGUCAGACCGGAAGGACUGGUGGAGCGCUUAGAAGUGAGAAUGCCGGUAUGAGUAGCGAAAGAAGGGUGAGAAUCCCUUCCACCGAAUAUCUAAGGUUUCCUG
rnacentral:rRNA from 1 species